rnacentral:rRNA from 1 species
UACCGGAGGCAGCAGUGGGGAAUUUUGGACAAUGGGCGCAAGCCUGAUCCAGCCAUGCCGCGUGCGGGAAGAAGGCCUUCGGGUUGUAAACCGCUUUUGUCAGGGAAGAAAAGGUUCUGGCUAAUACCCGGGACUCAUGACGGUACCUGAAGAAUAAGCACCGGCUAACUACGUGCCAGCAGCCGCGGUAAUACGUAGGGUGCAAGCGUUAAUCGGAAUUACUGGGCGUAAAGCGUGCGCAGGCGGUUAUGCAAGACAGAGGUGAAAUCCCCGGGCUCAACCUGGGAACUGCCUUUGUGACUGCAUGGCUAGGGUACGGUAGAGGGGGAUGGAAUUCCGCGUGUAGCAGUGAAAUGCGUAGAUAUGCGGAGGAACACCGAUGGCGAAGGCAAUCCCCUGGACCUGUACUGACGCUCAUGCACGAAAGCGUGGGGAGCAAACAGGAUUAUAUACCCUGGUAGUCCACGCCCUAAACGAUGUCAAC